CAACAGUAGGUACCCAGUUAGACCGAGAAACAAAGACCUUGUUUUCACGCCAUAGAAAAGUGGAAAAUGGGGGGUGGGAGAGUGUGAUAAAAAUGGAGUCUGGGUGGGUUCAAGGCCAUCCCUCAGGCUGGUUGGGUUAACUUUACUGAGUGCCGCUUUCCCAAACGCCUAUGCAGCCUCCCUACGCCUGUCUGAAGAGCUAUAAUUUAGAAAGCCACUCAGUCCUGGUGGAAGGGAUUCCAAUGGGAUUCCAAGACCCAGCAUUCCCAGCGUGGGGCUCAGCCAGUCAUCCACCUUCCAAUCGGAGUGUCCUGACGCCCCUCAGCCCUCGAGAUCUGACAUCAGCGCCUUUCCUGUACUCGCAGGUGGACCUGGAAUUCACAUCCCAGGAUCUAGUACCACCAGGCUUUCUUUGUGCAGCCUGAGAGGACUGUGGCUGGAGCGACAGGUACACAGACAGCAUCAUCUGGCUACCAUGAUGGGGCUUGUAAACUGUCCUUUAUUCCGAGCCUUGAGCGUCUUGUCUUCUGCCAGCGUCUGUGACAUAACAGGACCCCAGCUGUCUCGAGGGCUUAGAUAUAGGAACUCAAACCUGCUGGGUUCCUGAUGACGAGUUUGGAUCUGGCGUCUUGGUCUCCACCUCUUUCCCUCUAAGCACAAGUGUGCAUGUGCACGCUGCACAUGUGUUUCGGGAGCUGGAGAAGCAGGAGAGGAGACCCCUUGGACAACAGAAUACAGGCCCCUGUUAACUCUGCUUUGCAGUAGAAAGAUAGUAGAUACGGCAGACUAGUUCCCGACUCUUUCUAUGAGAUAAACAGACUGACUCGGUACAAAGGUUAAAAGAGAUACAAGCCACGGGUCUAAGGGAAUGGAUGCCUUGUUAGCUUCAAAGCUUAGAGAGAGCUCCUCUUUACUUUCACUGGAGCCUGUAGAAAGGCCUCUGGGCCAGGAUAUGCAAAGCUGACACAUCCAGCCUUGUUGACCGGAAUCCACCCACAUGGGGAAUGUCAGGACAGGGGCACACACCCCCUUGGCCCACUUACUUAUCAAAUGAGCUAUUCCACUUUUGGUAUAAAUUCUGGUGGCUUGCACAACCCUUGGAUUGGGACCAUUUCUCUCCAACGCUGAGGGUUUUAGAAAAUAGAUGAUCAGGGUGGGAGACCAGCUUAGUGGGUAAAGAGCUUAUGGUGCAAAUGUGAGAACCUGAAUUCAGAUCUGCACCCUCCCUCAUGCAUGCACACAUACCCAUGCACACACUCCCAUGCACACACAUCCACACAUGCACACAUCCACUAGAAGGGGCAGGUACAUUAUAUAUGUGUAUGUACACACACACACACACACACACACAAUCCCAACUCUGAGAGGUGAAGACAGGUGAGUGGUCAGGGCUUGCUCUCUAGAUAGUUUAGCCAAGAGUAGAGCUCCAGUUUCAGGGAGAGGCUCUGUCUCAAAAAACUAUGAGUGACCCAGGAAAAACCCCAUGUCCACCUCUGCCGUCUACAUGCACAUGUGUGGGUGAACACACCCGCACAUGUACACACAAAUGAACGAUCACAUGCCAGGACUCGUAUUCUCAAAACUUUGUUUAAACAAUGUUCUUUUUAGUUUUUCAUUUUAUUUGUAAUCUUACAUGUGUAUAUGGAUUUGGGUACAUGAGUGCAGGUGUCCACACAGGCCAGAAGAGGGUGCCAGAGCCCAUGGACCUAGAGUUACAGGCAGUCUGGAAUGGGCACUGAGAACUGAGCUCAGGUCCUCUGCAAAAGCAGUGCCAGCUCUUAACCAUGAAGCCAUCUGUCCAGCCCUCAGCACUACUCUUCAACUGAAUACCAGCUGUUAAUUAUCAUUAUUAAGGAUUAUUAAAAAUAAGGACCCAGAUGUUCCAGGAGCUCUUCAGUUGCUUUGUAGAGUGGUCUGGAGCCUACUCAACAAUCUGGGGAUGAAAGGACUCUCACCUGGAGAAGCUGAGGCCUCAAGGGGGAACAAUCUGACAGAGAGAGCCUCAGAUCGGCUGCAGCUGUUCUUGACCCGAUGACUUCUGGCUUCGUGGAAGGAGUUGUUUAUCGCCCGCGAGUUACGAACGCACCGUAGGCAGCUGGGAGAUGCGUUAAGCAGCAGGUCCGGUGUGGACAGUCACCCCUCGGAUCAGCUGAGAAUUCUGACCUUGGGUCAAACCAGUUUGUGUUUUGACCUCUUCCUUUCGAGUGUGUAUUUUAAUGACUUGAAAUUCCCCCCCUUGGGUUAUCUACGUCACUCUCUUUUGAUAGACAGAAAGAAGAAGGAAUAUCAGUGGCCUCCUUUUCGAGGACUGUGACUCAACCAUCACAGAACAGCAAGAAGCACAUCAGAUGCCACCCUCAAUGACUCCAAAAGACAACCCUAGGAACGGCUUCUAUGAAACAGAGCAACUCGUGUGGGGAUGGAUCUCGCCACCAGCCCCAGGAAGAUCUUUAUCACCCCUUUAAGCUUCCGGUAGUGCCAGACAAAUUUUGGUUUGUGACAGUGUCCCCUCCACUCUCUUUCUCGGGCACAUGCCUUCUCUUUGGUAAACUCACAUUUCCUGGGUUAUUUUGACCAGCCCUACUUCCCCAUGCUGAGUGGUUCACUAUUAAAAAUCACUUGUACAACACCAGCCUUCCCCACCAGACUAUCAUUCUGACAUGCGCAAGAUGCGUGCCUGUCUUUCUCCUGGACGCAAGUCCAGUGCCCAGUGCACAGCCUGCUGAGGAAUAGUCAUACGUCAGAUACUUACGGAAUGAAAAAAAAAAAGACAAUAGACACAAACCUUCACCAUUCCGUGAACACAAGAAGUCUGGUAAUAAGAAACAAGAAGAAGCAGAGGGCUGAAUGGAUGGCAGGCAAUCACCAGCUGGUUGUAAAGACAAAAGAGGCUGGGUUCUCUCACCCUUGGGAGGGGGCGAGCAGGGCAGAAGGGUUCUGGACACUCUUGUUCACCUAGCAACCUGACUUAAUGGGCAGAACUCCAAGGUUGGCUGCCUUGUCCCCACUUCACUGAUGUUUGAGUGUCCAAAUGGCCUGAGACCCACAAAGUCUAUAUGUAGCUGUGAUGUUUGCACCCAAGACCAUGUAGCUUCACAGAUGGGAGGCAAGACUCUGUAGACCCGGGCAAGGCUAUGCCCAACCUCAGUCAAGACUGCUGCUCGCUCCCCUUGGAUUGUAAAUGGGUUUUUGCUCACAGUCGGAAGAAUGAAGCACCCAGAUUGGAACUCGAGGCCCCCAGGGUCCAAGGGAGGAAGCACCUCUGACCUCACCUUUCCAGUGAGCUGGGGUAGCAGUCAGGGCUUGCAGAGAGGGCUAUUGCAGUUUCCUUUCUGUCCUCAAGUCUUCACCAUGCUCUCCCAGAUCAGCUUGUAGAGACACUAGCCAGACUGGCAGGGGUCCCGGAGAGGAGGGUACCAGCUGGAGCCUGCUUCAACAGCACAGCCAGAGUUGCGCACAGCAGGGCUGGGGCUGCCUGUCUUUCCUGGUUGCAGCCAGAGGCUGGCUGUCCCCAGUGGAUUCUUUCCAUUUGUAAUCCUAGUCUCUGUUCGCUUUGCCCAGACAUCCCACCCUCGGAGGACGGUGCCAUUGUGUGCCCCUGGUAUGGAAGAGUUGUAUUAGUCCUGGCUUGUAUUCCUUGUUGUAGAAACUUCUGGGGACACUGAUAGAGAGAUCCCUCACGCGAAGCUUUUGCUCCCAGCCCCCAUUUGUCAGUGUCUGAACAUAACCACUUAUGCACGACUAAAGAUGCUAACUGGAAACAGGAGCCUUGGAGAAGUGGCCACUGGGCAUGGGCUUUGAACCCUACAGAUCACUGGUCCCUUAGAAUCCUUGUCCUGAGUGAAUGGGGGGAGAAUCCUCUCCUGGGCUCUGAAUCAUGACUGUGUUGACACAGGAGGAGCAACAAAGGAUCAGAGUAGCUAGAGAGGGCUGCAACCUGGGCUUCUGGCCCUUGGAGUCUGUUAUAGACAUGUUACAGACAUGUGUUAUAGGCAUGUUAUAGACAUACAGCAUUCUCUGCAUCCUCAGAAUCUGAGUGUCUUGGCUCUUCUUCCUCCGCUCCUUUGUCAACUGCAGUGGGGCCACCAUUUCUCUCCCAAAAGGAGCAACACAAUAAGACUAGAGAGACUGAAAAGACCAGCAACUCCUCAAAAACAGCACUUCCUACAUGCUGGAGAGAGUUUAUGCACUAGAAGAGGCUUCCAGGAGGGGAAGACAGGAGGCCCACUCUCCGUCCCUGGGCGUGCUUGUCUCUCAGACUCUCUCGUGGAUACUUCUUUGGGUGCAAUCUCAGCUAAUGGAGGAAAAGCCAUUUCCGGCUUUCUCUUUGAUGUCUAGGAUCCUGGAGCAGAGGUCUGGCUCCGUGAGAGAUCUCACACUUUCCAGACUUAAUGCAACCAGCAGCAGUCAGGCUGAGGGUGAGGUGGGUUGCACAGUCCCGGGUCACUCAUACAGAGCAGAGAAUCACUCAGAUGAGAAGCCUUCCAUACAGGUCAACAGUGCCAUGAACUGUCUCUCAGGAAGGACUCCAUGUCACCGUUCAUCCACCUCAAACCAUAAGCUCAUUGAGAUGAGCGGGGACACUGGGAAGACCACCAGCCCUGCCCCCACCCUCUUGGACUUGAUUUCUGCGCAUCGAGAGAUCUGAUAAGAGCCUAGGGGUCAGUUGGUUUGCCCUCAAAUCUCACAUCUUACAAACCAUCUGGCCAAACCAACUAGAGAGGAGUGGGGCCUCUACCUGCCCUGCUCUUCCCUUUGGUAUCUCAGCACACAGUUACCCGUUUCCAAACAGAGCCAAGAAAAGUCCAUUCAUCAUCAUGGUCCCUGUCUCUGAGGAGCUCACAUCCCGGACACAGGACAGACUCCGUGGACUCAAGAACUAAGACUUGAGACCAGAAACGUGUAAGGAGAUCUGAACAGGGCACACACAGUCUGGUUCCUAUGAUAGAAUGUUCUAGAAAAGACAGGACUACAGAGACAGAAAGCAUACCAUUGUUUGCCAGACGUUCGGGGCACUGGAGCAGAGAGAGAAGGAUGACGGGUGGAUCAAAGCAGGGUAUUAGGGCGGUGAAAUGUUCUAGAUGGCAGAUACAGGACAUCAUACAUUUACCCAGAGACACCACAUGCACAAUACCGACAGCAACCCUGGCACAGGCGGUGGGCUUUGUCUUGACAGUAACACAUUGCCCUGGUUCCUUGCCCUGUACCACACUAAUGCAAGAUGCUCACAGCAGGAGCAACGGAGGUGGGAGUGAGGAGGUGCAUGGGAACUCUCUGUACUUUCCAGUCAAUUUUCCCCCUCAAACUGCUUAAAAUCAUAGUCUAUUCAUUUAAAGAAAAAUGCAAGGUGGAGAAAGAAAGGGAGAGAUGGAGUCGCUGUGGGAGAGCUGAGAGGGGGCGGGGUGGGAAUAAAAAAGAAAAGUUAGAAAUCAACCCUAAGAAGAACGAUGCCCUUAAGGACGAUCCUCCCACUCAGAGCCUGAACUUGCAAUCCUUUCGGGACAUGAAAAAGACCUUGUAGGUCAGAGCCCCUCAUAGCAGCAAAAGUGAGAGGGAAGGGGAGAAAGUGUUGGGGUACAGUUUAGGGAGUGGGGCCCCUGGCACAGAUGGCACAAACCGCAAGUGCAAUUACUCAAAAAAAAAAAAAAAAGAACUUGAAAUUAAAAAACGAUUUCAAGCCAA